rnacentral:tRNA from 1 species
GGAGGUGUUUAGUGUCUGGUGAUGCUUGCAGUCUUCAAAACUGUCGAGGGGCUGAUAAGGUCCUUGGUGGGUUCGAUUCCCAUACACCUCCGCCA